AUGAACAAGAUCCUGAAAGCAUCAAUUUUAAUACUAGGCCUUCACUUAGCCUGGGUGAGUGGCCAGCAACAGGGGAGACCCGAUCAGCAGCAGGUGAGGCAAAGUCCCCAAUCUCUGACAGUCUGGGAAGAAAGGACUUCAGUUUUGAAUUGCACUUAUGAGGACAGCACAUUUGACUAUUUCCCAUGGUACCGGCAGUUCCCUGGUGAAGGCCUUGAAUUACUGAUAGCCAUACGUCCAGUGUCAAACAAAAAGGAAGAUGGAAGAUUCACAAUCUUCUUCAGUAAAAGUGAUAAACAGCUCUCCUUGCACAUCACAGAUUCUCAACCUGGAGACUCAGCCACCUACUUCUGUGCAGCAAGUGCACAGUGA